UCCGAGUUGACCCCGGCAGUCUCCCAAGAGUCCCCGACAUUACUCGCUGGCAACAUGGGACAGGGGUUGCGCUCGUUGCGCCACUUAAGGCAACACCUCACGGCACGAGCUGACGACAGCCAUGCAGCACCUGUGCGGGCCCCCGAAGGGGCACCGUGUUUCCACGGCGUCACCCCGCAUGUCAAGCCCUGGUAAGGUUCUUCGCGUUGCGUCGAAUUGAGCCACAUGCUCCGCCGCUUGUGCGGGUCCCCGUCAAUUCCUUUGAGUUUUAGCGUUGCCGCCGUACUCCCCAGGCGGGGCACUUAAUGCGUUAGCGACGGCGCGGAUUUCGUUGGUUGAAACCCACACCUAGUGCCCAACGUUUACGGCGUGGACUAC
rnacentral:misc_RNA from 1 species